rnacentral:sRNA from 1 species
AUAAGAUCCGCUUAGGCGGGUUUGCUUCUAAUAGAGCAGAACAAGGCCCCCUCAAGGGGGCCUUGUUUUUUUUGCGCC